rnacentral:rRNA from 1 species
AGUGAACGCUGGCGGCAGGCCUAACACAUGCAAGUCGAACGGCAGCACGAGAGAGCUUGCUCUCUUGGUGGCGAGUGGCGGACGGGUGAGUAAUACAUCGGAAUCUACCCUGUCGUGGGGGAUAACGUAGGGAAACUUACGCUAAUACCGCAUACGACCUACGGGUGAAAGCAGGGGAUCUUCGGACCUUGCGCGAUUGGAUGAGCCGAUGUCGGAUUAGCUAGUUGGCGGGGUAAAGGCCCACCAAGGCGACGAUCCGUAGCUGGUCUGAGAGGAUGAUCAGCCACACUGGAACUGAGACACGGUCCAGACUCCUACGGGAGGCAGCAGUGGGGAAUAUUGGACAGUGGGCGCAAGCCUGAUCCAGCCAUGCCGCGUGGGUGAAGAAGGCCUUCGGGUUGUAAAGCCCUUUUGUUGGGAAAGAAAAGCAUUCGGUUAAUACCCGAGUGUUCUGACGGUACCCAAAGAAUAAGCACCGGCUAACUUCGUGCCAGCCGCCGCUGUAAUAC